GAUCUGAAAUCAGGUAGGGCUACUCGCUGAACUUAAGCAUAUCAAUAAGCGGAGGAAAAGAAACUAACAAGGAUUCCCCUAGUAACGGCGAGUGAAGCGGGAAGAGCUCAAAUUUAAAAUCUGGUUUGCUUUGCAAAUCCGAGUUGUAGUCUGAAGAAACGUUUUCCAUGAAAGCUGAGGCACAAGUCCUUUGGAACAGGGCAUCAUAGAGGGUGAGAAUCCCGUCCAUGGUCUCAAGCCUUUCAUUUUGUGAUACGUUUUCUAAGAGUCAGGUUGUUUGGGAAUGCAGCCUAAAAUGGGUGGUAAAUUUCAUCUAAAGCUAAAUAUUGGCGAGAGACCGAUAGCGAACAAGUACCGUGAGGGAAAGAUGAAAAGAACUUUGAAAAGAGAGUUAAAAAGUACGUGAAAUUAUUGAAAGGGAACCGUUUGAAGCCAG
rnacentral:rRNA from 1 species